rnacentral:rRNA from 1 species
CCUACGGGGUGCAGCAGUGGGGAAUAUUGGACAAUGGGCGAAAGCCUUAUCCAGCCAUGCCGCGUGUGUGAAGAAGGCCUUCGGGUUGUAAAGCACUUUCAGUGGGGAAGAAAGCCUUGGGGCUAAUACCCUCGAGGAAGGACAUCACCCACAGAAGAAGCACCGGCUAACUCCGUGCCAGCAGCCGCGGUAAUACGGAGGGUGCGAGCGUUAAUCGGAAUUACUGGGCGUAAAGCGCGCGUAGGCGGUCUGAUAAGCCGGUUGUGAAAGCCCCGGGCUCAACCUGGGAACGGCAUCCGGAACUGUCAGGCUAGAGUGCAGGAGAGGAAGGUAGAAUUCCCGGUGUAGCGGUGAAAUGCGUAGAGAUCGGGAGGAAUACCAGUGGCGAAGGCGGCCUUCUGGACUGACACUGACGCUGAGGUGCGAAAGCGUGGGUAGCAAACAGGAUUAGAUACCCUAGUAGUC